UUUAUUGUAAUAAAAUAACCGUUUCAAACACUUUAUUAUUUAUUCUCAAGCUUAUGUAAUGAAAAAAUCCGAAAGAUGUAAACACUACAAGAAAAAAGGCUUUUGUUAGCGGACGAAAAAUGCUAUCUAAAGAUAUGAUAGCGGUUUAUGAAGCGCUGUAUCAUCGCCCGUCAUAAUAGGUCAAACACAUUAGAUAGCGGUUUUUGGUAUUGUUAUCUUAUAGUCAUAUACUAUAGCGUUCUUUUGCGUGCAAUUAAAUAUUUUUUAUUAGCGUUUUAUUUUUGCUAUUAUAUAUUAUUAAAAUUUUAAAAAAAAAAAUUAAAAAGAAGAAAAAUCACAAAAUACAGUUAAAAUAUAUAAUAUAUUAAAUUAUUUUUACAAAAUAAUUGAAUUUGGUUUACAUAUUAAAGUAGGUUUACAAAAUUAACCUAAUUAAAAACUAAACGUAAAAAAAAAAUACAGUUCACCGCUAAACCUAAAAACCCUAACUCCUCGCGCCUCCAUCUCCUUUGCCGCGGAGCUCCAACAGCCGCCUCCUUUACCGGAUCUGUCAACCACCAUCACGAACUCCUCCACCAUCGACGCUUCAAACCAAGCUGUCAGCUACGACAUCUGCUUUCCUCCUCCAUCCUCGACGCUUCAGCCACGCCGUCAGCCACGUCCUCCAUCGCCAUGCUCUCCGCCAGAUCAGGUCCUCAUCUGCCAUAUUCCUCCAUCCUCGACGCUUCAGCCAUGUCCUCCGUCGUCCUCCUCCAUAUUUUAUCUCUGUUAAUUGUCAGCAGCCUCUGCCUUCAUACAAACGAAUCAGAAUUGAUAUAGAAAAAGAACAAAAAGAUGGAAACUUGAGAGACAUUUGAGAGCGAAUAACAACUUACAACUGAGUUGAUUUGUUGUAGAGAGAAAUCAC
rnacentral:lncRNA from 1 species